GGCUGGGUAGCUCAGUUGGUUAGAGCGCAGGACUCAUAAUCCUGAGGUCGAGAGUUCAAAUCUCUCCCCCGCCACCA
rnacentral:tRNA from 1 species